UUCUAUUAUUUAGUGCAUGCAGCUGGUUAAACUGAACAGCCUAGCAGGCUAAUGGGAACACAGGAAUAACCAGGUUCAGCUCCUCACUACAUCAGAGUUUAUGGCCUUAAAAUCUGCUUUGGAAAGAAAUGCAACAUGGACCCCUGUUGAUAAUUAGCCCCAAGUCUGAAGGUGGAGAAGGAGGAGGUUAACAUUCCCCAUCAGCAAACUCCAAAGCCAAGUGGGUGCUCUCCAUCCACCUGCAGCUCUGACAUGUUACAAGGGAAUAGUGCAGGCAGGGAGGGAUGUUGCUGAAAUCCAGCUCCGUAAUGGAAACCUGGAUGAAACGGUGGCUGCAUCCUUAUCACCUCCCUGCAAUUCAACACAAAUGCUCGCAGCCUGACCACGUGCCCAAGACAGUCGACGGAGUUUAUGUUAGUUCAGCCAUGUGUUGCUAUUCUGAUAAAGGACAAACUGACUCGCCAUUAGAAGCUAACAACAGCCUUAGAAAAUGUACUGUUAAGCAUGUUUCUUGGUUAAAAAAAAAUAAAAAAUACGUUCGAUGCAUUUUGAAAUGAUGAAAAAAUAAAGGGCCUGAAUGUUCAGCUGUGUUUUGAAUUGCACAGUGCACACUCCACCUGAAAAUAAUCUGUGCUCUGCUGAAGUCGUUCGUGUAGAGACUUAAAUUAUUUUUAUUCUUUGUCAGUGGUAAAAUGAUACUUAAUAUUUUAUCUCUUUUGU